GCUCUUUUUCACGAGGAAGGUCGUCUAGUAGUCCACGUCGAAGGGACCGUCGUGAUUCAUUCUCUCCUCGACAUAGAUCAUCACAUUUGAUGAGAAGAUCUGGAUCUACUUCACAUCGUAAGUCUCGAUCUCCAGAAGUACGUCAAUUGCGUUCUCCUUCUCAACAUAGUUCACCAUCUCCUGGUCGUAAAUCACCAUAUCGAUCAUCUUCGCCUAUGCAACGUCUAUCAUUAUCACCUGCACAUCGAAGGUCACCGGCACUUGAUAAGCAUAAUAGAUCACCAUCACCCACGAGGCAUCGUAGGUCACUAUCACCAAUUAGACGUCGUCGUUCACCUUCACCUGUUCGGCGUCGUAGAUCACCAUCACCUAAAUGGCGUCGUAGAUCACCAUCACCUGAGUGGCGUCGUAGGUCACCUUCACCAGGACGACGUCGUAGGUCACCUUCACCAGGACGACGUCGUAGGUCACCAUCACCAGGACGACGUCGUAGGUCACCAUCACCAGGACGACAUCGUAGGUCACCAUCACCUAUACGACGCUGGAGGUCACCAUCUCCAAUACGACGUAGAAGGUCACCAUCUCCAAUACGACGUCGAAGGUCACCAUCCCCACCACGACGUCAUAGGUCACCAUCUCCAUAUCGUCGAAAAUCAC
rnacentral:lncRNA from 1 species